GAUGAAUGCUGACAGAAUGCUUAACACAUGCAAGUCUUUGGCGAAGCUGUGCUCGCACAGCCUAGCCAAGGCGGACGGGUGAGUAACGCGUAAGGAACUUGCCCUGCAGUCAGGGAUAACAGACGGAAACGACUGAUAAGACCUGGUAAAGUCAGGCGGACUCAUGUCCAGCCUGAUGAAAAGAGAUGCUGCAGGAGAGCCUUGCGUCCUAUUAGCUUGUUGGUGGGGUAACGGCCCACCAAGGCGAUGAUAGGUAGCCGGCCUGAGAGGGUGGACGGCCACAAGGGGACUGAGAUACGGCCCUUACUCCUACGGGAGGCAGCAGUGGGGAAUAUUGGACAAUGGGGGCAACCCUGAUCCAGCAAUUCUGUGUGCACGAUGAAGGUUUUCGGAUUGUAAAGUGCUUUCAGCAGGGAAGAAAAAAAUGACGGUACCUGCAGAAGAAGCGACGGCUAAAUACGUG
rnacentral:rRNA from 1 species